rnacentral:ncRNA from 1 species
GUAAAAGCUGCGAUAAGAAUUAGUAGCAAUCAGUAUACCAAACAGAAAGUUACCGUAUGAUGAGAGGUGCAUGGUUAUGGAUUGUGAAUACAUCUUUGAGCUUCGCACCGAACAAAUUUAUCAGUAGGCUGCGACGGUAACCCGCACCCGUUAUUGUGCUAAAGUAUCUCAUUUUUUGUGACGUACUUGAUAAGGUGAGCAAUGUGAAUUGUUUAUGAAUUUAAGGUGGUAACACGAGUGUAAUCUCGUCCUUUCA